AGUGAACGCUGGCGGUAGGCCUAACACAUGCAAGUCGAACGGACGCUCCGUAAGUGCUUGCUCUUACGGGUGGCGAGUGGCGGACGGGUGAGGUAUACUUCGGAUUACACAUUUUAGCGGGGGCUAACGUCGGGAAACUUCUGCUAAUAACGCAUAUGACCUCAGGGUGAAAGCAGGGGAUUUUCGGACCUUGUGCGAUUGAAUGAGCCGAUGUCGGAUUAGCUAGUUGGCGGGGUAAAGGCCAACCAAGGCGACGAUCCGAAGCGGUUAUGAGAGGAUGAACAGCCAGACGGUAUGAGAGACUCAGCCGAGACUCUGACACGAGGAAGCGGUGGGGAAUAUUGGGCAAGGGAGGCAUGCCUGAUCCAGCCAUACCGCGUAAAUGAAGAAGGCGUUCUGGUUGGAGAACCCUGUUGGUGUGAAAAAAGAACAGCAGUUUAAUACCGCACUAUUCUGACGGUACCCAAAGAAUAAGCACCGGCUAACUUCGUG
rnacentral:rRNA from 1 species